AACGAACGCUGGCGGCAGGCCUAACACAUGCAAGUCGAGCGAGGACUUCGGUCCUAGCGGCGGACGGGUGAGUAACGCGUGGGAACGUGCCCUUUGCUUCGGAACAGCCCUGGGAAACUGGGAGUAAUACCGGAUGAGCCCUUUGGGGGAAAGAUUUAUCGGCGAAGGAUCGGCCGGCGUUGGAUUAGGUAGUUGGUGGGGUAAUGGCCUACCAAGCCGACGAUCCAUAGCUGGUUUGAGAGGAUGAUCAGCCACACUGGGACUGAGACACGGCCCAGACUCCUGCGGGAGGCAGCAGUGGGGAAUAUUAGACAAUGGGGGAAACCCUGAUCUAGCCAUGCCGCGUGAGCGAUGAAGGCCUUAGGGUUGUAAAGCUCUUUCAGAUGGGAAGAUGAUGACGGUACCAGCAGAAGAAGCUGGGGCUAACUCCGUG
rnacentral:rRNA from 1 species